rnacentral:lncRNA from 1 species
UCAGUAUCGAGAACCACUUCUUCUCCUUUUCGAGGCGUAGAUCGCCCGUCAUCUGAUUUGCUUCGUCAAAGCGGAUAGCAUUAUGGAAUUGAUUAUAUUCAUAAAAAAAGCACCCUAUUUAAUAAGUCCUCGGAAAUGAUCUCAUCCAGUACUUCUCUCAGCCUAUUUGCCAAGACUUUGGAGCAUAGCUUGUAAAUGACAUUGCACAAAGAUAUCGGCCUAUACUGUGAUAUUUCUUGGGGGUUCUACUGUCAGCAAGUGCACUAUUAUUUACUUCACCGCGUACUUAAAGAAUUGUUGGUAGCAAAGAACAGCACCUGAUAGAAAGGAUGCUAACCA